UUCCGGUUGAUCCUGCCGGAGGCCAUUGCUAUUGGGAUCCGAUUUAGCCAUGCUAGUCGUACGAGUUCAGACUCGUGGCGAAUAGCUCAGUAACACGUGGCCAAACUACCCUUCGGACCGCAAUACCCUCGGGAAACUGAGGCUAAUAGCGGACACCACACGCAGACUGGAAUGUCGCGUGUGCCAAACGCUCCGGCGCCGAAGGAUGUGGCUGCGGCCGAUUAGGUAGACGGUGGGGUAACGGCCCACCGUGCCAAUAAUCGGUACGGGUCAUGAGAGUGAGAACCCGGAGACGGAAUCUGAGACAAGAUUCCGGGCCCUACGGGGCGCAGCAGGCGCGAAACCUUUACACUGCACGCCAGUGCGAUAAGGGGAUCCCAAGUGCGUAGGCAUAGAGCCUACGCUUUUGUCCACCCUAGGGUGGUGGACGAAUAAGGGCUGGGCAAGACCGGUGCCAGCCGCCGCGGUAAUACCGGCAGCCCGAGUGAUGGCCGAUCUUAUUGGGCCUAAAGCGUCCGUAGCUGGCCGCACAAGUCCAUCGGGAAAUCCACCUGCUCAACAGGUGGGCGUCCGGUGGAAACUGUGUGGCUUGGGACCGGAAGGCGCGACGGGUACGUCUGGGGUAGGAGUGAAAUCCUGUAAUCCUGGACGGACCGCCGAUGGCGAAAGCACGUCGCGAAGACGGAUCCGACAGUGAGGGACGAAAGCUAGGGUCUCGAACCGGAUUAGAUACCCGGGUAGUCCUAGCCGUAAACACUGCCUGCUAGGUGUGGCACCCACUACGAGUGGGCGCUGUGCCGUAGGGAAGCCGCUAAGCAGGCCGCCUGGGAAGUACGUCCGCAAGGAUGAAACUUAAAGGAAUUGGCGGGGGAGCACUACAACCGGAGGAGCCUGCGGUUUAAUUGGAUUCAACGCCGG
rnacentral:rRNA from 1 species